rnacentral:sRNA from 1 species
AUUUGUGGUAAACCCAGUGACACGGGGGAGAUGACAUACAAAAAGGGCAGGACCUGAGAAAGAUUAAGCUGCAGGCUCCCUGCCCAUAAAACAGGGUGUGAAAGGCAUCUCAGCGGCUGCCCCACCAUGGCUACCUGGGCCCUCCUGCUCCUUGCAGCCACGCUCCUGGGCAACCCAGCCCCUGCCUCCGCAUCUGCGUGGUGAAGGCCAUUGGCCCUCAUCAGUGGAUCUGCGUUUCCUCGGGCCUACACUGUCUAGGAUUGUGCAGGGCUGGUGAGAGAACAAGAUCUCUUCCGUGUUCAAGGCAGACUUCCCGCCCCCCGCACUCUGCUCUCUCCCAGGCCUUGGGGUCAGUGUGAGCCCCAAGGGCAAGAACACUUCUGGAAGGGAGAGUGGAUUUGGCUGGGCCAUCUGGAUGGAAGGUCUGGUCUUCUCUCGUCUGAGCCCUGAGUACUACGACCUGGCAAGAGCCCACCUGCGUGAUGAGGAGAAAUCCUGCCCGUGCCUGGCCCAGGAGGGCCCCCAGGGUGACCUGUUGACCAAAACACAGGAGCUGGGCCGUAACUACAGGACCUGUCUGAUGAUAAUCCAAAGACUGAAGGAUAUGGUGGAGGAUCAGCCCACCCAGGUGAGGCCAAGGGGCUACAGAGCCUCCUGUCUGCUGCUCAAUGGAGGGGCCAGCCUGUGACCAGGUCGGGGAUCGGGGAGCCCGGGGGCACCUUGCACAGUGAUCCUGGGGGAGGGCUUCCGAGAAGGGAAUCUGUGAGUCCCCGUGUGUCUGUGGAUGAAUUUCAGAGAACUUGUGAAAUUGUGACUCUCUGGAACUGUGUAAGUCAGACGGCAGAGUAUACAUGGUUUUCAUCAUGUAUCCUCAAAGAGGGCUUGUCCCAGAGAAGUUAGGAAUCUUCCCCUAAAGCCCUAACGUUUGUGUCCAAGGCAGAGUUUGAGAAGCUAGUUCCCCAA